CUGCUUUGCUGGAGUUUUGUAAGUGAGCCCAGGAUACGGAAUACGAUUAUUUACCACAACUACUUGUUGCUGUUAAUGAAGAUUUUCUAGCCCAGAUUUUUGUCCAGAUACUUCAGAAUUUUCAACAGUAUAGAUUUAGCAUUCCAAGGAUAAUUGGGGCAGGGUUAUCCUAGCUUUUAUAUCUUCUCAUUUGGGAACUUAGGAUAUACAGAAUAUACAAGCAUAGCUAUGCUGAAUCCCAGCUGACAAGAAAAUGCAUGUUAUGUACAUAUGCCUCACAGACUUGUACAAUAGGAUGCACAUAGAGUACAACGUUUUGAAGCAUCAGUUAUUGUAAGAUAAGUAAUUGCUUCAUCUUCUGCUGCAUCCAGAUGCACAGCCCACAGUCUUGGCUAGGAGUUUGCUCUUUCAACAGAACCUGGGCUGGCACCUGCAAGGGAAGGAUCUCAACUUGGAGACUGCCUCACUUGGAGAGUGUUUGGUGAGCAUCGGUCGUUAGAAAGUGGCAUAUCACAUCAGGCGUAUGGAUGACGUGAAAAGAACAGCUUUAACCAAACUGCCACUGUGAUAGAUAAGCAAGAAUUGGCUGGAAGAUGAAGGAGGGAGGAAGAGAUAUAAACUCCAUUCGGCCUUUGUGCUAGCCCUAGAGCUGCAUGUGUGAAUAGGAAAGAUUAUUCAUCAAAUACAGAUAACUUCUGCCACAUGCUUCAAUGCAGUUGUUUAAAAAAACCUAUGAGUGAAGAGAGACGUCUGUUGUAUUUCAUCUCUGGUAAAAAUUAAAACAGGACCUCCAAACUUCUGGCUCUGCAACAAAGGACAUGUUUUCAACUGAAAAUGUUCUUCAACUUUUUGUUCAGCUUUUUGAAUAUGCCUAGUGAUUUGAAUAACUAAUUUUUCAGUUGCUUGUAGAAGUGCUUGGUGAAGUUAUAUGAUGAAGUCUAUUGAGGCAAAUAAUAUAUGGAGUCAUGACAAAUGAGAUAUAGAUCCACAGCAAAUCUGUCCUGGUUCCACAAUUAGCUAGCAAUGCUUGGCAUUUCUGAUAGCUGUUCUCACUAGGUAUCUUUAAGAAGCUGAAUCUGAGCCUGUGUUCCAGUUUCAGUAGCUUCAUAACAAUUUGAAUCAGCUGUGAAUUGAUCUCAUCAUUUCUUCCUGUAUCUUGCCUUUGUGAAUACUCUUGAGGAAAAACUAGGUCAAAUUCUACUCCUAAAUGGCACCUAUUUAAAAUGAGCAAGAAUUAUACACAAUCUACGUGCUAAAUUUUGUUUAUAGUUGUUUAAAUGAGCAGUGUGAUAGCUGAACAGAAAUGUUUUCUCAGCUACAUAGGGAAAUCUGAUUUCCUUAGUUUUGUGGAAAAGCAACACAUUUUUCUUUUUACCUUGGGUUUCUAAAGAAAAUUCAAAGCAUUUUUUUCCAGAUAGGAAGCAGCUAUUUUUGCAUGGAAGUAUUUGUGAGGUGAAGAAUAGCUUCCUACCUGUAUCUACAUUGUAGUCUGCAUCCUACAGCUGCACGAGACGAAUGCUCACUUGAGGUGAUACCAAGUUACAUAACAAAUUGUGCGAGCUCAGCUUGUGUGAAAGUUUUGUAAGCGCAUCA